GUGCUUGCUUCGGCAGCACAUAUACUAAAACUGGAAUGAUACAGAGAAGAUUAGCAUGGCCACUGCACAAGGACGACAUGACACUAGGUUAGCAAUGGACAUCCCAG
ensembl:snRNA U6 U6 spliceosomal RNA